rnacentral:lncRNA from 1 species
CCAAGAAGAAGCUUAGAGUGCAUUUUCUAGGUGACCUGGUGGUGCACAGACCUAGAACUAACUACAAGAAGGGGUGAUGCCCAGAGGAAAUGAAUGUUAACUGCACAGUUUAUUCCCUUCUCACUUCCUGAAGUGAGACUGGGCUUUCUGGAGUCUGAUAAGAAAUCAUCUGACCUUAGGAUUUCCUUCCAGGAAUGCUAAGAAAUACUACAUUAUAGAUUCUGACUGCAACCGACGCCUCUACCUCAUAACUGCUAUGGUAAACCUCAAACAGGAAAAUUCUGGAGCAUGUCCCUGUGUCCUCUGAAGUCACCUUCCCUGUUCGUGCAAGAAGAAGCCGGGCACCUCCUGUUUGGUAAAUGAUUCUCCCAAGUGAUGUAACAGGAUGUUGAGGAACCUUUCUUCUGCUACCCAGACAGUGCUGUCCCUUGCUACAUUGCACUAAUGCACCAUAGUGUGACUGCAUUGUGUAUGUCUGCUGCCUUCUCUCUUGAAGGCCUGAUUCCACUUUCCACCCAUAGAGCCCACUACAAAAACAGUGAUCGCCCAGGGGUUGAAAGGUACAAUGGAUGACAUGAAGCAGCUAUUUCCAUCUCAAAGACAAAGAAGAAACUGGCAAAACAAGUCCCUCAUAUCCUUAAGAUUUUA